rnacentral:rRNA from 1 species
CCAAUAGCGUAUAUUAAAGUUGUUGCAGUUAAAAAGCUCGUAGUUGAAUUUCGAGACCGGUUUACUGGUCGUGCUUUUGUACGUACUGGUAUUAUCGGUUUCUCCUUUCUGACGAAUCAUAAUGCCAUUAAUUUGGUGUUUUGGGGAAUCAGGACUGUUACUUUGAAAAAAUUAGAGUGUUUAAAGCAGGCUCACGCUUGAAUACAUUAGCAUGGAAUAACGGAAUAGGACGUUUGAUUCUAUUUUGUUGGUUUCUAGGAUCGACGUAAUGAUUAAUAGGGAUAGUUGGGGGCAUUAGUAUUCAAUUGUCAGAGGUGAAAUUCUUGGAUUUAUUGAAGACUAACUACUGCGAAAGCAUUUGCCAAGGAUGUUUUCAUUAAUCAAGAACGAAAGUUAGGGGAUCGAAGACGAUCAGAUACCGUCGUAGUCUUAACCAUAAACUAUGCCGACUAGGGAUCGGAUGAUGUUAAUUUUUUAAUGACUCAUUCGGCGCCUUACG